AGAAAAAGAAAAUGACACUUUACUAAUUGAAAAAAUUGACACUGAAAAAUUUCUUCUUCUUCAACCUAGCGUCCUUCUAACAGCCAUUUACAAUGGUAACUUUCUUGCACUCAAAGACCUUACUACUAGCUCUCUAAGAACUUCAGGUUCAAACCAGGAUUUGAUUUCUGAACUACUAUUCUUAUUGUCUUCGGGAAUUUCUUCAACUUGGUAUCAGCUCAAUCGAUCUGAUAACCAUCUCAAGGUAUUGCUCUUGAGAUGUCAGAAAAUACAUGUUUGGAGUUUUCUACUCUAGUAGCAGUAGGUAUAGUAGAAUUAGAUGCGCUAUUAUUUCCUAUAUUAAUAGCAUGUAGCAGAUUUUGUUGUUAUAUAUGUGAAUUUGCCACCCCAGAAAUAGGUACAUUGACAUGACAUACAAAUUCUGGUAAAGAGGAUUUUAAAAAGUUGAGUAGAGAGGCACAAGUAAUCUUUGGGUCACCAUGGGGGACAUACCUCGGUGGCAAGCCAUAAGGCGGCCACCCCACGGUAUUUAUGUGAGUUGCAUUUAAUUUUGGAUAGGCAUGGCCAACACCAUCAUGCCUCACUAACGGCAAGGUAGGCUCUGCGUUUGAAAUCACAUGAGAAUUUCUAGACUCAUUUCCUCUAGUCUCGUCACUGGAAGUAGAAGAUGUUGCAUAUGUAUUUGACAUGCCAACUGACACUGAUUUCUUAAUCUUUAAAAACACGAUCUUACUACUACGUAACCACGUGCAAAUUCAAAACUCCUAAUUUUUUUCUUUUGACAAACUACAAUCUAUUGACAAUGUCCUAUCAGGCGUGCCAAUUUGUUUUACUCAAAUUUUGUUAAUGUUUAAAAGAAAAUAUGGGUAUCUUAAUGUUGCAAUUAUAACAUCAAUAGAAAUUAAAAGGUAUGAAAUUAGCAAAUAAACAAAGAAAUAUAAGAUGUCGAAAGAAAAGUAAAUUGCAAAAAUUAAAAGAAAUAGAAAAUUAAAGAACGAAUGAAGAAGGAAAGAUAAGCAUAAAAGAGAAGAACAUGUAAAAGUAGAAAAAUUUUAUUAAUAAAAACUAGAAAGAAGCAAAUUACAAGUGUUUGAGUUCAGAGGAAUUAUUUAAGAUUUCUAAUUUUUACUCUGUGAUGUCAAGGGACUGAGAGCAUUUUAAGUUUCUAAAUGUUUUCCAAAAGAACUGAACUCCCUACAAUAUUUGCUUAAAACUCUGUUUAUAGACUAAUCUAAUGUCUAAUUGACAGUUAUUUCUAUAAUAUCUUUGUCAAUUUUUUUCUAAACUUGAAUUAACUAUUGUUCUGCUCUAAUUUCUUUGACGACCGUUUUGCAUUGUACUUUGACGCCUCAUGUUGAUAACUGCUCCGGCACAUAGCAUAUCUUAUAAUUCAGGCCUAAAUCAAAUUUUGAAUAAAACCUGCUCCUUUUGAAAACAUUAAUUAAAACCUUUCCCUAAUAUAUUAAAACUGACUUCAUAAAUCGAUAACAAUAUUUUAUAUUUAUUUAUUUAAAACAACGUUUUUUCUAAUAAUAAUAUUUUUUGCCUAGCAGUAGAAGAUCCCCGUUCCAAACAAAAUCAUCUCUUAAAGGUUUUGACUACUUUAAGAACUGAUUUUCAAGUAGGAGAAGUUGCCAUUACAACCUUAACUUCAAAAUAAUUUGCUCUCUGAGGUAUUUGCUUAACAUAAUAUGUACCCAUAAUGUAUCCUUAUGAUGAAGAAAUUUCCAAACUAAUUUUCAACAAGAGCAACAUUCACAUUCCGAGAAUCUCUUAGGCUAAUCCUCUAUAUCUCUUAGGAGUGGUGAGAACUUUUCAAGAAGUUGGACGCAAACCGCAAGACUUAUUACUCUACACAAAAUGCCUUAUAACUUUGUCAAUCUCAUGCCAUACCAUUUAGGAAAAAAAAAUGUUAUCUGCAUCUUAUAUACUGAUACAGAAGCAAUGGGUAUAAUUAAACAUUGAUAUAGGUACUCUAACUUUAUUAAGAAUCUUGUUAACAAAUAGCUUAUUAAGGGUAUUCUUUCUGUAAGUUCUUAAUUCAUUGAAAGUGUCAAAAUGUUUUAUUUUAAACAUUUUAAACUAAUAUCUUAGGAUACUAUUUAGCUCAUUCCAAAUUGAAAUUGUAUAACCCUACAAAUACAAAUACAAAUAAAAUUCUCCACAAAUCAAUUUUUAUUACUAUUUUACGAAUUUUUUAAUAGAUAAUUUAUAUUGUCCCAAAAUAAAAACGUUAGGAUUGAAGUGUCCAUUUUCUUUUGAUAAGAAAUCGCAUUUUCCUUAAUGAAAAUAGACAGGGCCGAAUUAAAGCUUUACUCUUCCAAAAUAAAUAAAAGUCAUGCACAGAUAUGAACCUGACAUUGUUUUAAAGAAAAAAUAAAUAUAAUUGAAGUCUGCAUCAAUUGAGUCUGUGUAUGUAUGUCUUCCCCCACGUUAAAGUGGGUGUCAUUACGGAAUCUCUCCCUGAAAAUGCAUGCAAUUUACUCAAACGAAAAUAAUAUAAAAUAAAAGAAGAAAAAAUCACUAGUUCUAAAAUGGAAGCUGUACUUAUUAUUCACUUGGCAUUUGGCAACUGCACAAAAGGAUGUAGUGGUCCCGGGGAAUGAACAAAAAUUACAAGGAAAAAGA